UGUUCUCCUCUGAACAAAGAAUGGAAUUUAUGGAGAAUGAAAUGGAACAACUAAAAACCAAGAACAAAGAACAAGCAGAAGAACUGACGAGUUUGAAUAAAACAACAGUUGACACCAAUAUCAAAAUGGAUGAA